UGUUUGAACUGUUUGAGCAAAAUUAACUUCUUUGAUAACAGUAGUACUACUAAUUAUUCACUAGUAUAUAAUGCAACCUAGCUAGCUAGCUUAUGUAUAAGCAUCUCUUCAAUCAAAUAUCUCAAAGCUUGGAUAACUGCUCAAACCAGUCAAAUUUGAAGGAAGACUGAAAUGAAGUUUCUGUUUCUAGUCACCGUAACCAUGGCGUUAAUCGUGUUUGGAGCUGCACUGACCGAUGCCAAACGCCUUGAUCCGUUCGGAGAAGUUCCUCGGAGUUUAGUUGAAUCUGAUAUCAGUCCCAAGGUUAACAUCAAGGUUGCUGAGACGAAUGAGGAUGAGGAGAAUGAGAGUUAUGGUAAUUUUGGGCAUGAUAAGGCCGGAUCUUCUGCAGAAAGCCACCGUACCUUCAACUGUGCAACUAUUUCGUGCAACUGAGUCACUCGACUUUGUAAAAUGGUUGGAUGGAUUGCUUUGAUGAAGAGUGAGAAGUAACUAAUUAUGUCACCCAUAUAUGUAAGUAGCUAGAUUUAUGCUUUCUAGCAAAUAAAAAGAUCACUGUGUCUCUGCCUCUAGGGUUCUCAAAUUGCAUCAACGAAGUUACAAAACAAUUACCUACUUAAUUAUAUAUAUAAUUGAGUUUUUGAUAAUAGAUAGAAAUUACUUCUAUGUGUUUCUUGUA